rnacentral:lncRNA from 1 species
GCAGAGUCGAUGAAUCAUCUGAAUCUAAAUUCAAAUGUGUUGUGGGAGAAAUUUGCUCAGUAUAUUCCUCAUCAUUAGAGCACCAAAUCAAUCAUUACUGCAAAUUGAUACUAUUUCCUUCUAGAAGUAAUUCAUCUAAUGCUUAUCAGUAUUAACAUUUCUAGCAGAGUGCUAAAAAAUCUGCUGUAAAAUUCUUUGACUAUUGUUGCGGCCAAUCCCCUAUCACCU